rnacentral:rRNA from 1 species
UACGUAGGGUGCGAGCGUUGUCCGGAAUUACUGGGCGUAAAGGGCUUGUAGGUGGUUUGUCGCGUUGUUCGUGAAAACUCACAGCUUAACUGUGGGCGUGCGGGCGAUACGGGCAGACUGGAGUACUGCAGGGGAGACUGGAAUUCCUGGUGUAGCGGUGGAAUGCGCAGAUAUCAGGAGGAACACCGGUGGCGAAGGCGGCCCGCUGGACAUGUAUUGACGCUGAGGUGCGAAAGCGUGGGGAGCAAACAGG